AUCGCUUCUCGGCCUUUUGGCUAAGCUAAGAUCAAGUGUAGUAUCUGUUCUUAUCAGUUUAAUAUCUGAUACGUCCCCUAUCAGGGGACCAUAUAUUAAAUUGAUUUUUGGAAUCGGGAGAUGGAACAGGGGCUUGCUCCGUCCACUCCACGCAUCGGCCCGGUAUUGCAGUACCUCCGGGAACGGUGCACACUUU
ensembl:snRNA U2 U2 spliceosomal RNA